rnacentral:tRNA from 1 species
GCCGUGGUGGUGCAGUGGUCAGCACACCCGAUCCUUUACCUUUCAUUCCUUUGUCAUUCGCUCGCUUUGGGUCGUAAACACACUCUUUCGAGGAUCGGGAGGUCGUUGGUUCGAGUCUAACCCAUGGUG